GACGAACGCUGGCGGCGUGCUUAACACAUGCAAGUCGAGCGGUAAGGCCCUUCGGGGUACACGAGCGGCGAACGGGUGAGUAACACGUGAGCAAUCUGCCCUUCACUUUGGGAUAACCACCGGAAACGGUGGCUAAUACCGAAUACGACCACUUCCUGCAUGGGAUGGUGGUGGAAAGUUCCGGCGGUGGAGGAUGAGCUCGCGGCCUAUCAGCUUGUUGGUGGGGUAAUGGCCUACCAAGGCAACGACGGGUAGCCGGCCUGAGAGGGUGACCGGCCACACUGGGACUGAGACACGGCCCAGACUCCUACGGGAGGCAGCAGUGGGGAAUAUUGGACAAUGGGCGAAAGCCUGAUCCAGCAACGCCGCGUGAGGGAUGACGGCCUUCGGGUUGUAAACCUCUUUCAGUAGGGACGAAGCGCAAGUGACGGUACCUACAGAAGAAGCACCGGCCAACUACGUGCCAGCAGCCGCGGUAGUACGUAGGGUGCGAGCGUUGUCCGGAAUUAUUGGGCGUAAAGGGCUCGUAGGCGGUUUGUCGCGUCGGGAGUGAAAACACGGGGCUUAACCCCGUGCCUGCUUCCGAUACGGGCAGACUAGAGGUAUGCAGGGGAGAACGGAAUUCCUGGUGUAGCGGUGAAAUGCGCAGAUAUCAGGAGGAACACCGGUGGCGAAGGCGGUUCUCUGGGCAUUACCUGACGCUGAGGAGCGAAAGUGUGGGGAGCGAACAGGAUUAGAUACCCUGGUAGUCCACACCGUAAACGUUGGGCGCUAGGUGUGGGACUCAUUCCACGAGUUCCGUGCCGCAGCUAACGCAUUAAGCGCCCCGCCUGGGGAGUACGGCCGCAAGGCUAA
rnacentral:rRNA from 1 species